rnacentral:lncRNA from 1 species
AUGGGAGGUCUGCUCAGGGCCCUGGAGGUCACAGGUGGUGUAGCUGGGAGUCACACCCAGGCCGCUCCACCUGGAAAGCAGGUGCCCUCUCGGGGCCCCCAGGCCUGGCACCAACUCCCCUUGGCCAACACAAGCAGCACGUGUGGAGAGCCCUGCGCCAGCCAAGCCUUAGGCUGGGGCCCUGUCCCCGGCUCUCCCAAGAGACAAGACUUCUGUUUGUGGAAUGGCGGAAGACUCAAGGUCAGACUGUGGGGUCCACGUGCCGAACCCAGCAGAGUCCAAAGGAGCAAGAAGCUCAGGAGGGCUUCCUGGAGGAGAGGGCUGCACUCACAUCAGGCCAGGAGCCCCAGUGCAGGCUGGAGGCCUGCCACCCCAGACGGCCCUGCCCCUCCCACCGAGCUGCAGACAGCUGCGUCCCGAUGCCUCAGGCCAGGCACAGCGAGCCUUCACCAUCCUGGCGCACCCCCUGGCCCACGGCGAGGCCCCUCUGUUGGGGCAAGCCAGCCCUGGUGCCCACCCAGGCAGAGAGGCGCCUCACCACCAGUGCCGUGGAGAGGUUUCGGGGUGCCCGCUCCCAAGAUCAGGAGCUUCAGUAAAUACUCCAGCGUCUGCCACUUCAGCUGCGCCCCCACCCAGAGGACAGUCCGCUUCUUGUACCUCUGUACCCCCGCCAGCUUCCCGCAAAGAGCUAACGCAGCAAUCGUGUCUGUCACCCUGCAGCCAGACCUUGACGUUCGUUGUCUCGUCCCCCCGCCCCGCCCCAGGACCGAGGAUGCACAGGGCAGCUCCUUCUGGGGGCUGACCAGGCACCAGGGCCCGCCCGACUGA